GGGGGCGUUUGGUUUUGACAGCGUAGAUCUUUGAAAGUGUAAGCAUGCAGGGCGUUGUGUAAUUAGCCCUUUAAUCUGAAUACUCAAACUUUAAAUGGCAAUACUCAGUAUGCCAUGGCUGCCUAAUCAGUGAUUAAGUAGUCAUUAGGGCCGCGUUGAGCAGGUUGUUCUGUUACCAUGCUCCGCCGCCGACUUAUAAAACAAAAACAGGAUGCUGCUGAUGAAGGCUGUGACAUUAGCAAAAGACCAUACAGCUAAGCCUUGGGUUGGUUUGUUCUUUCCCUGCCCAUCGCCCACAAGUAAUAAGGAAAUAAGCAUGUAGAAAGCUUUUGAAGGAUAUGUUUGGACACCGGUUCGAGUCCGGUCGCCUCCACAA
rnacentral:tmRNA from 1 species